rfam:Myotis davidii contig78728, whole genome shotgun sequence.
GGCAGUUCUCAGGUGAGGCACCCAGGGAUCGGACUCUCUCCUCUCUGGUUCUGGGUGUGUCACCUGAGAAUCACA